UACGGAGGGUGCAAGCGUUAAUCGGAAUUACUGGGCGUAAAGCGUGCGCAGGCGGUUUGUUAAGUCCGUUGUGAAAUCCCCGAGCUCAACUUGGGAAUUGCAAUGGAUACUGGCAAGCUGGAGUAUGGUAGAGGAAGGUGGAAUUCCCGGUGUAGCAGUGAAAUGCGUAGAUAUCUGGAGGAACACCGGUGGCGAAGGCGGCAUCCUGGACCGGCAUUGACGCUGAGGCGCGAAAGCCAGGGGAGCAAACGGG
rnacentral:rRNA from 1 species